rnacentral:rRNA from 1 species
GACGUAGGGCGCGAGCGUUGUCCGGAUUUAUUGAGCGUAAGGGCUCGUAGGCGGUUCGUCGACGUACGGGAGGUGAAAACCUCGGGGCUUAACCCCGAGCCUCGCUUCCGAUGACGGGCAGACUAGGAGGUAGGCAGGGGGAGAGCGGAACUCCUGGUGUAGCGGUGGAAUGCGCAGAUAUCAGGAAGAACACCGGUGGCGAAGGCGGCUCUCUGGGCCUUACCUGACGCUGAGGAGCGAAAGCGUGGGUAGCGAACAGG